rnacentral:rRNA from 1 species
CUCGUAGGUGGCCAACUAAGUCAGACGUGAAAUCCCUCGGCUUAACCGGGGAACUGCGUCUGAUACUGGAUGGCUCGAGUUUGGGAGAGGGAUGCGGAAUUCCAGGUGUAGCGGUGAAAUGCGUAGAUAUCUGGAGGAACACCGGUGGCGAAGGCGGCAUCCUGGACCACGACUGACGCUGAGGAGCGAAAGUCAGGGGAGCAAAC